rnacentral:rRNA from 1 species
UGAGGAAUAUUGGUCAAUGGGCGAGAGCCUGAACCAGCCAAGUAGCGUGCAGGAUGACGGCCCUAUGGGUUGUAAACUGCUUUUAUGUGGGGAUAAAGUGCGUGACGUGUCAUGCAUUGCAGGUACCACAUGAAUAAGGACCGGCUAAUUCCGUGCCAGCAGCCGCGGUAAUACGGAAGGUCCGGGCGUUAUCCGGAUUUAUUGGGUUUAAAGGGAGCGUAGGCUGUCUAUUAAGCGUGUUGUGAAAUAUACCGGCUCAACCGGUGGCUUGCAGCGCGAACUGGUCGACUUGAGUACGCAGGAAGUAGGCGGAAUUCAUGGUGUAGCGGUGAAAUGCUUAGAUAUCAUGACGAACUCCGAUUGCGCAGGCAGCUUACUGUAGCAUAACUGACGCUGAUGCUCGAAAGUGCGGGUAUCAAACAGG